UGUGUCGAAACUGAAAGUAAAGAAGAGCCUUAGGAAAUCUACAUUCGCCUUCAGAAGUCUUGAAACAGACAUAAAUAUCACAUGACGCUUGUGUCUUCACUCGUGCCCAGAUAAAGAAGAUGGGGACGGAGUUUACAUUGGACGACACAUUUAUGUGCACAGAGGGUGAUGUUGCUGCAGGAGAGCACGUGCCUCACAAAACUGGACAUGAAAAGAGGUGGAUGCGAGCACAGUUGGAGCAGGUGCUGUGCUGCUGCAGGAAGAUGAGGAAGGUAUUGACCAUCCCAUUUGUUUCUUUUCUAAGAAAUUUAACCGACAUCAGUGUAACUAUUCUACAAUUGAAAAAGAGGCUUUGGCUUUGUUGUUGUCGUUGCAGCAUUUUGAAGUAUAUGUUGGGUCUACUUCGUAUCCUGUGGUUGUGUAUACGGAUCACAAUCCUCUUACGUUCCUGUGUCGAAUGUAUAACCAAAAUCAAAGGCUAAUGCGAUGGGCUUUAGUGGUUCAAGACUAUAAUAUUGAGAUUCGGCACAAGAAGGGAGUGGAAAAUGUGGUCGCGGAUGCUCUUUCUAGGGUGUAACUCCCGUGUGGGGUAGUUUUGUGUACAAACAUUAUUUAAUUUAUAAUGUUUGAUUUUAAGGGUGGGGGUGUUACGUGUUCAGAUUGUUGCCCCCUCCCUUUUUGUUAUUGGUUGUUUUUUCUCCCCUUUGUUAUUGGUUUCUUGUGUUUCCGCUCUCCGCUGUCUCUCUGUUGUAGGUACCGUGAUUGGUUACGUAAUCUGUCCAUCAUGAUGAAGCAGUAUCCAAUCAUUAACGGGGACAGGAUAAAGGACGCCGUGGAGAACGGCGUGGAGAACGGAAGAGGAGGGAGCUUAGAGUGUUCGUUGGCUGUGCCAUUUGCUCAGUGCUGUGUUUAGUGGUGGUUCGCUUGCUUGAACGCCUUCUUGAGUGUUUGAUACGGAGAAUGUCUUAUCUGAUCUGAAAACUUCAUCAGCCCGGAGAUCAAGAAAAGGAAAGCAUGUCACGUGACUUACAUCUUACAAACACGCAGGAGUGAUUCUGUAUAGACACAUCAGGGAAGGAGCGGGUGCAACCUUGUGUAAGUUUUAUUUAAUAGUUAGUGAAGCUUUAGUUAUGGCGGGCACGCCGAAGAUUUCUUUAUUUUCUGGUUUUGUUUUUUAGUUAGUUUAGAGGGCGGGGGAUCAGUUAGUGAUUGUUUUGUUUUGUUCUUUUCGUUUGUUUGGCGCCGCUCAUUUUCUUUUUCUUUACUUUGUAUAUAGCUGUAAAUAGGGAUUUUUGGUUGGUGUUUCCAUUUGUGUAAACUUAUAUUCCGUUGUAAAUAAAGCGAACCACUUUUUGUUACAUUGUUUGUCCUUGUGUCACUCACCCACAGUACUUCCCAGAGACCAAGUUUAUAGGUUGUUUAAAUAUUUAUUAUGUGCGUCUCCCCCAUACCUCUACGCCACCAGGGGACGUAACAUUGGUUAUGAGUCGUUAACGUUUGUUUGUAUGUUGUGCCUCGUGUUUCU